rnacentral:lncRNA from 1 species
UCAGUGAAAGUGCCUGUACCAGUCGAACGAAAAGUUCCUUACCCAGUCCACGUUCCCGUUCCAGUUAAGCAACCAGUCCCUGUUCACGUAGUACAAAAGGUCAAAGUUCCGGUAAAGGUACCAUACCCAGUGCCCGUUCCACAGAAGAAAGUGCCAAUGCCACCGCCAAAGAAGUUUCGACGUCCGAAAAAAUGGUAAAUGCUGACAGAAACAGAAAUAGUUUCAAAUGGUUUCCGUGACAUCCAAAAUUAAUUGCGAGGAGCGGGGGUAUUAAGCUUUUUAGAUAAAAUUCCGUCGUCAUGGCUUUGACGUCGUAUCACUGUUGCAAUGAUUUUAUUUCGAAAUUAUUUCGUAUCACUUCGUAGGAUCUGUAAGCAUUUUGUUCAAAUUUACUCAUCGUUUUAUGAGAUUCUAUACUGUUUUAGUUUUUAGUUUCUUACUGCUAUGUUUGUAUUGUGCUUAUGCGUGUCUUUGCAUCUAAAUCAUACCUUGUGAUGUCCGUUUUGGUGUCUGUGACGUCAUCAUAUCUUGUGAUGUCAGAUUUGAUGUCUGUGACGUCAUCAUGAGGCCAUUAGUUUGUUAAAUGAUUAAUUAGACUACACUAAAAUAGUAUUAGACUUUUAUCACAUAUUGACAUAAUAUAUAUUUUAUCAGUUUAGCAUAAUCCAAUAACAAAAAUGGCAACGGUCGAUAUUAGUUUAUCUUGUCAAAGCCAAUAAGAUUCUGUUUUAUGUCGGUUCGUGAUUAGAAAAUGAUAUAAGUGAUUAGAAUAAGCAUACGAUAUAUAUGUCUAGACGAUGGAAUAUUACUGUUAUCUAUUGAAUAAAAUCUAGAUUUUGAA